rnacentral:rRNA from 1 species
UUAUAAGGGAAUAAAGUGAGUCUCGUGAGACUUUUUGCAUGUACCUUAUGAAUAAGGACCGGCUAAUUCCGUGCCAGCAGCCGCGGUAAUACGGAAGGUCCGGGCGUUAUCCGGAUUUAUUGGGUUUAAAGGGAGCGUAGGCCGGAGAUUAAGCGUGUUGUGAAAUGUAGAUGCUCAACAUCUGCACUGCAGCGCGAACUGGUUUCCUUGAGUACGCACAAAGUGGGCGGAAUUCGUGGUGUAGCGGUGAAAUGCUUAGAUAUCACGAAGAACUCCGAUUGCGAAGGCAGCUCACUGGAGCGCAACUGACGCUGAAGCUCGAAAGUGCGGGUAUCGAACAGGAUUAGAUACCCUGGUAGUCCGCACGGUAAACGAUGGAUGCCCGCUGUUGGUCUGAAUAGGUCAGCGGCCAAGCGAAAGCAUUAAGCAUCCCACCUGGGGAGUACGCCGGCAACGGUGCAACUCAAAGGAAUUGACGG